rnacentral:rRNA from 1 species
ACCCGCUGAACUUAAGCAUAUCAAUAAGCGGAGGAAAAGAAACCAACAGGGAUUGCCUCAGUAACGGCGAGUGAAGCGGCAACAGCUCAAAUUUGAAAUCUGGCCUUUACGGUCCGAGUUGUAAUUUGUAGAGGAUGUUUUGGGUACCGCCGCGGUUUAAAUUUCUUGGAACAGAAUGUCAGAGAGGGUGAGAGUCCCGUCUUGGAUCGCGGUAGGGCCUGUGUAAAACUCCUUCGACGAGUCGACUUGUUUGGGAAUGCAGGUCAAAAUGGGUGGUAAAUUUCAUCUAAAGCUAAAUAUUGGCCAGAGACCGGUAGCGCACAAGUAGAGUGAUCGAAAGAUGAAAAGCACUUUGAAAAGAGAGUUAAACAGUAUGUGAAAUUGUUGAAAGGGAAGCGCUGGCAACCAGACUCGUGCGCGGGGUUCCCCCUUGCUUCUGCUUGGGUUAUUUCCCCGUGUCCGGGCCAUCAUCAGUUUUGGGGGCCGGUUAAAGGUCUUGGGAAUGUAUCUACUCCUUCGGGGGUAGACUUAUAGCCCAGGGCGUCAUGCGGCCACCCGGGACUGAGGAACGCGCUUCGGCGAGGAUGAUGGCGUAAUGGUUGU